AAGCUCUGUAUCACUGGUAACAUUAUGCAUUUGAUCUUUGUGUGUUUUCGUAAAGAAUAGAGUAGUGCCUACAAUGUACACCUGUGCAUUACCUAAAGCCAUCCCAGGAACCACCAGUGGUCAGUACCCCAUCCUGAGGAACUGAAUUGCUUCAUGUUUCUCCUAUAAAGUCACUCUGAAAUAAUUAUGAUACCCAUUUCCAGAUGCAAAGCCUCAAGUAAUGUGAUUCUAAAGAUAACUGCUGGUAAGAGUUAGAUCUAAGCCUGAAACACAGAUCUCCUGGCUCCAAGUCCAGCAAUCCAGGAAUUGAGGCCCAUUAGAAGACUGCAAAAUUAGUUGUAUUGGUUGCUGCCAACAUUUAAAAAAUUAAAUAGGAAGUAAUAGAAUAUAGACUAUCUCAGAGUAUAUUACCCUAAGUGAGGUUAAGUAUGGCUUUGUGAAGCUUGAUCGUGGCAUGAAAUGUAUGUCUUUACUCUAGGGGUUGUGGUCAGAUGUGUUUGAAAGCUACUGCUCUGUUUUGUCAUGCUAUUUGAAAAUGGGGCUACCUUGUUGGUACUGCUGUGGGCAAGGACGGCUGCAUUACAAAACCCCAGGGGCUCCUGUUUGCAUCAUCAUCAAAGCUGCCUCGCUGCCUACUCUUAAAGUCUCAUUGGAGCACAGUCAUGACAGAUCGUUUACAUAUUGACUAUGGUUGCUUUCCCAUUACAUAAAAAUGCAUGAUGUCCUGUAUUUUAUCAAACUACCUUAGCUAUAACAGCAAAGCUGAGUAGUUGUGACAGAGGUCAAAUGGCUCACCAGGCCAAAUUAUUUAUUAUUUGGAAAGAAAAUGUCUACCCAUCCCUGAUCUGUGUGAAUGGCAUUCUCUGGAAUUAUGCAGUGCCCAGACUGUGCAGCUGUAUGUGGCGGUACUACAGCCAGCCAGUGGCUUCUUGGCAGCAGCACUUCGUUCCAACUGCUGAUUCUUCCAUUGCAUUUCAGUGUUUGCUUCUCUUCAGGGCUCCAAACCAAGGUUGUGUGAACAGAGAGAGCUGAGCUUUCCCUUGUAGGAGCUUUCCUGCUAAUCUCUCCCAGAACAGCCCUUUCUCCCCGCUCCUGGCUGCCCUCAUCACCACAGCUACUCUUCCCAAGCCUCGGGCCCCCUAGGAUAUAUGAAUGGAGGCCUUUGGACCCUUUCUGUAAUAAACCCUGAAUGACACCCUUAAAAAGAGGAGUGGGGUUUGGGAAUAAUGUGAAAAACUGUGAAAUUCUCCCAGUGUGAGGGGCCCAGCCCAGUUUUGGACAGUGAAUCACGGCCUUGGCCAAGAUGUUCUCAUUACAAUCUCUGCUGACCUCCUUGGAGGAGUGAAAGCUGUUGCCUGCAAAAAUAGGCAGCUUCUCAGCCUCCUCUGCCUCAUGGCUUUGCCUCACUCCCUGGUGGUCUGAUUCUGCAUACUCCCUCUAUUGCUCUGUCUGUCUUCUUCCUGAGCCACUGCUUAUCUCAAUCAUUGGAUACAUGAACCCAAUCUGAAGCUUAGCUAAUACAAGGACUGGAAUGAUGGAAAUAAUACCUUGGCCCCAUUUUUAUCUCCUUGUUAUUUCUCUUACUGUACCUUUUUUAGUUCAGAUCACACCUGAAGUGAUACAUUUAAACCUGGGGCCUCAUGACAAGGUGAACAUCAACCGCUAGAGUGGUCCAGAAGGAAGCCAGACUGUGGUCAAAUCCCGGACACUGGUUUUGGAGGCAUGUUUGAGUGAAUUGGGGUUUAUACAACAUGGAUGUGGGUGAACUGAAUCUUUAUUUGUCAUCAAAUGUAGGUCCUUCAUUUUAUACGUGAGACCAAGGAAUAUAAAGAAAUGCCAUCCAAAGUCAAAAUAAAAGAAGAGGCUACAUCGUCCACUGAGAACUCUGAUGUAAUGCCAAUUAGUCUCUCCAUGUCACCAUGGGAUGAAAUUAAUAAGAUUUCUUUUUUUCCUUUUUUGGCUUUAUCCUCAUUGUCCUUGGGAUCAUCAUCACUCUCAACCUAGUAUGGUUUUCAUAACUAACAUUUAUGGAGUGCUUGCUGUGGACCAGCCACUGGGUUCCAGUUGAGCUUAUCCAGUUCCUUCGAGGUUAUCAUCACCCGCUCUGCUCUGGUUUUCAUCGUCGCUAUCAAGGAGUUGGCUGCUGGUCUAACUGUUGAUUCCUUGGAGAAUUUGCCCAAAAUGUUUUUCCUAAGGCCUUCAGUGCACUUCACAUUAUUCAAUACAAUGGACAUGUGUCAGUCCUCAUUUGAUUUGACGUCCUACCAAUAAU